rnacentral:rRNA from 1 species
GAUGAACGCUGGCUACAGGCUUAACACAUGCCAGUCGAGGGGAAACGACGGGGAAGCUUGCUUCCCCGGGCGUCGACCGGCGCACGGGUGAGUAACGCGUAUCCAACCUGCCUCUGACUGAGGGAUAACCCGUCGAAAGUCGGCCUAAUACCUCAUGGCAUCGUCUGCGGGCAUCCAACGACGAUUAAAGAUUUCAUCGGUCAGAGAUGGGGAUGCGUCUGAUUAGCUUGUUGGCGGGGUAACGGCCCACCAAGGCGACGAUCAGUAGGGGUUCUGAGAGGAAGGUCCCCCACAUUGGAACUGAGACACGGUCCAAACUCCUACGGGAGGCAGCAGUGAGGAAUAUUGGUCAAUGGGCGAGAGCCUGAACCAGCCAAGUAGCGUGCAGGGUGACGGCCCUAUGGGUUGUAAACUGCUUUUAGGCGGGGAUAAAGUGAGGGACGUGUCCUUCAUUGCAGGUACCGCAUGAAUAAGGACCGGCUAAUUCCGUG